rnacentral:lncRNA from 1 species
CUGUUAAAGGUUAUUGUGUGUGCACACGUGUGUAGAUCAGAAGACAGUGCCUUCUUUUCUUCCCAUAUGGAAAGCUUUAUAGGCUUGAGAGCAAACGCCUUUGUUCACUAAGCUAUCUCAGCAGCCCGAUAAAAUAAUAAUCUUUGAUGAAAUAGAAAAAUAGGAAUGAUUUUGACAGUGCUUUCCUCCGUGGGUUUACUUUUCAUAACUGGGUAUUAAAAAUCACAGUGGCCCUAAGGGUGGUUCGGUUGGUAGAGUUGAGUGGGGCCCAGUCAGUACAGUGUUCGCUUCGUGUGCAUGAAGCCCUGGGUUCGACCCUCCACUGCCACAACGAAAGCAAAAAGACAAGACAAAAGCCAAGUUAUAAAGCAACAGCUAGACGUGGUGGCACACGCCCCUGAGCCCCGCACUUGCACUGCUGAGACGGAAGUUUUCCAUUUGAGAGUGGACAAGGCUGGCUGCACAGAGGGAGCUUAUCUUAAACAAAGAGUCAUCGAAAUCUGUGAGUGUAAUAUCAUUUUCCCAUCUUUGCUGAAAGAUCAUGUCUAAACAAAGUAAAGAGAAAGGAUGGUGACGACAA